rnacentral:sRNA from 1 species
GAAAGAUCAUUCAUGUAUAUUCUAAAAUUACCACAGUCAUAAAAAGUCUUGGACUUUCAUGAGGAAAUAGCAUAGCUAGAUCUGAAAAAAUAUAGAAAAUCUUCAUCAAUGGAACUAUUCUUGGGGUAGACAUUAAUCAUACGAAAAGACAAAUGCUCAUUCCCUAAGAUAGCCUGAAUCUCAUUUAAAAUGUAGAAAACCGCUUGUUAGUAAAGAGACAUCUUCUACAGUAACCACUGAGAAGAAGUGGAAGUUUUUCAUCUCCUUUUUUUAUUCAAAAAGAAAAAGAAUUUCUCAACCACAGUUCACUUUAGUUAACCCCUUUGAUUGCCUAAUAAUAUCAAAAAUGAUUUCUCUGUUAAUUGGCUUCACGUUUUUGCUCUAUGCUGAAGUAGUGUUGGGAACUGCAGUGUAGCUUCCAUCUCUGUUUGGAGGUACACUGAUCUGAUCUGAUACUAGAGAAGAUAAAAAAUGAAUUAGCAAAUUGUGAACACAAUGAAAUGACUGACGUAGGUGUAGAUUCCAACAUUUUUCUGAAGGUGUCUUGACAAAAAAAAAAAAAGGCACAUGUGAAACCUUUCCAUUCUGUUCUUGAUGGCUUGGCUUUAAUGGCAUAUGGUUAAUGAGUUAAUAAUAAACAUAUCUGAAAGUGUGGGGGAGUUUUCAUUGGCCUUUAAAAACUUAUAUGGUGAGAUUAUGUCCACACUUAUUCUUUCAGCUUUCUUAAAGAGAAUAUUCAGUUUUAAAGAACAUAGUCACUUGUUUUGAGAUUUAUGUAUUAGCUUCGGAGAUCAGAACAUAAGAAUUUGAGGUAUGCAAGUCAACUCCCUCACUUUCUUUUAAAAAUCCUGGGAAAUCCGUUAUACCUUCCGUGCCUGAUUUUCUUCCUUUGCAAGUGGGUUGCUUGGCGUCCAGCUCAACCACUAAUGCAAGUCACCACAACAGGUACGUCUUCAAAUACCAUCUCAGCAGGCUGGGAGCCAAAUGAAGAAAAUGAAGAUGAAAGAGACAGACAACUCAGUUUUUCUGGAUCAGGCAUUGAUGAUGAUGAAGAUUUUAUCUCCAGCACCAGUAAGAAUAAUCAAUUAUAGUACAGCCAUUUAUGCAAGGCUUAUUGAUUAAUCUGAGUGAUACCAAAUUGUAUCUCUCUUGAGAAGUAGUUAAUAUGAAAAAUGGGUGAAACUAUGAUCAUACCUUAGUUAUAUCUUGAUGAGAUUAUGGAAGAAGAAAUAGAAUGUUUUGAGAAGUGGGGAAAAUGUCUCACAAAAUUUCUCUUGUCUCAUGUUCUUCCUAUUUUAUUUAUCUGUGAGAUCUACUGCUACAGAUUGUCUUUGAAUGAUCAGGCUUUAUCAGAGAAUGACAUUAAAACAGUAGAAAAAA